UUAUUUAACCAAUUAAUCAUUCAAGCCCAUAAUUAUCGCGGAGAGCCUGCCCGAUAGCUUUAAGAUCCCACUACCUUGAACCUUUGAUCCUACCCCCAUGGCUCUGUCCUUAAAUAUCUUGGUGCAGUAAAAUAUAUCUUGUAGGUCUCACCUUUUAGUAAUCUAGUGGAAUUACAUACUUAUUACUUACACUACAUAGACUAGACAUACUGCUGACAUUUAAUACAUAUAAAUUUAAACACACAUCUCACAGUCCAAUAGCUGGCGAGCUGUAGUUCGUUUAUAUAGUAGAUUUAGUUUGGAAUCACUGGAAAGAUUGAAAAUUACAGUUACCACCAUCCUUAGUGUAAGUUCAACGGAUUUCCUGCCGAAGUCAAACAAUGACGAUCUUAUCAACUUUAUCGAUCUCCUAAAUAACCGUGACGAUGAUGAUUACAUUGGGAAAUCUAAGUACUUACAAACUUUAACAGAUACAGAAUUGAAAAGAAGUGAUGAACAGGAUAAACUGACUGAAAUGAUGCGUUUAUUACAAAUGAACUAUGACGCGAGAGAAGAUAAGAAUUACGAUAACAGGGAAAGACUUCAUUUUAUAAGAAAUCCAGAAAUUAUCGACGAUUAUCGGAGUCACAUGAGAAAACGAUCUUCUCCUGAAUUACUUUAUGAUGGUGAUUUUGACGAGGACACUUUGAAACAGCUACUCCUCAGUUUGAGGCGAAAUGCCGUGUUUCGCAUAAAACAAGAUACAUCAUUAAGAAAUGCUCCAGCUUUACGAUUGGGAAGCAAUAUUGGCGAUCCAUUAGACCCAAUAAAAUUGUGAAAAUCCGCGAUGACAUUACGAAAAAGUACGAUUGGGGUAAGAGUUUGGAGAGACAACAGAGAAUCAAGCCUAAACUACGGAAGGCAGAAGAAAGAUACAAGCUCAGAGGCGGUUUUGGUAGGACAUCCAUUCCCAUCGCCGGGAAGAGAGGAGUUUUUGAAGAUAUUUAUAAUUAAACUAACAUAAAAGGCACUUUAUUAUACCUACCCCUUUGUCUUAAUACAGCUAAUAUAAAGUGAAUCCCUAAUUUAUACCCUAACACUUAAAAAAUCCCGUGUAAGCUUCCAUGUGAUCUUAGCAAUAAAUUCCACUCAUAAAAGUUGUUUAAGACUUUGUACCAUGACAAAACAAGCGAUUCAGAGUAACAUAUUUUGUUGAACUAUGACGUAAUCACACAAGAUCUAUUUUGUGAAAGUCAUUCUUAUAUGAGCAAGAACUUUUUUUGGGUAGCCUCGACUCUUUACUCGUAGAUGGAGUAAUAAGGAUUCCAUACUGGGCUUGCGUAUUACAAUAGGGCUGCACUAGGGAUUUAUAUAUAUGUUCCUGACAGACACGACAUUUACUCUAGCAUACCAAGAGCAGAAUUUACCAAUUGGUCUAUAUGAGGAUCAAGGGUCUAUUUACGGUCUAACUCCCCGAGAUCUGUGAUGGUAGCAACUGAUCUCAGUUAUUGGUAUCUUAGGCAAAAUUUAAUCGCUAUUAUAUUUUUAUUUCUGGUAAAAUCAAAGCUUGACGCUUUAAUAAAAAUGUUGUCUUGGAUGCAGACGGCAUUUUAUGAAGAAACUACUUGUGAUUUAAAUCGUCAGCACUAAGUAAAUAUCUACAAUGAUUGGAGCAUUGCGUUAUGUCAUUGAUGAACAUGGAAAAAAGUAGGGAUUCAAGAAUUGAGCCUUGCAGUACACCAGAUGUCACAGGCACUGAAAAUUAGCAAGAUGUUUUUUUAAAUACGCAUAACAUUUACACGCUUUAUAUUGCUUAAAUAAUGCGAAUUAAUAUUUUAAAUGAAGCAUAUGACGUUGUAUUUAUUUAAAAUUAAUUGUGAUUCACCUGUCUAAAUAUUGAACUAAGAAAAGCCAGGGCGCGUUGCUUGUUUAGUGUCUAUGCAUUUAAAUGUAUAAGAAGUUAUCAGAAUUCAUGUAGAAUAUUGACGUAUUUUUAUAUUCGAUAUAUUUUACGACGGAAACAACCUUGUAUAAUGUGUUUAAUAUUUGUAUAUGGCAUAAUAUUAUCGUCUAUUAUUCAAAUGGAUUGUAAAAGUAGAAAAUACGACGUGGAGUUGGAAGCCAGAAAAUUAUAUGGACAAGACUUAAAGUCAGUUCUUGAAAGAUUUAGACGAACUCCAGAGUACAUUGAGAUACUAAAUGAUGAGAAAGAAAAACUUCAUAUGAUAGUUGACAUGAACUUUGAUUCCAAUAAGUUGUAUUAUUCUACAAUCCUGGAGCAAAAAGUUAAGGAAAUUAUUACUGAAAAUACUACUAAUCCAAGUAACUUAAGACACAAGACCACACCAGGAGUAUCUUAUACUAAAUACAUAGGCCCUCACAGAAAGCCGGUUGUUCGACAACACACUCACAACAUGAGUGGAGUGGAGAGACUGGAGCAGUAUGGGCGGCUUUACCCACAUCUAUCUUUGGACAUGCGAAAUCGAAUGGCCGACUUGGGCUUUGAAUAUUGUGGGUAUGCCAUACAUGGACUAAUCACUUCAGUGUUGCCAUCUGAAAAUUCAAUGUCUACCAUGCAAGCUCUAGACUCUGGAAGCAAAUAUCAAUCUACUCAUUACUCUCAUAAGAUAACACCAACAAACGGAGAUACCGAAGACAAAGGACAAGGGUCCCCAGACGACACAUAUAGAAACUUCAAAAGCAAAGCCUAAUUUAAAUAAUUAAAACAAUUAUUUUAUGACGACUUUUUUCCCUUUCAAUGUAUUAAAAUGCUAUCGAACCUACUAAUAAUUAAAAAAAAUAUUUUGUUUUUCCCGCCGUGAUGUUUAUUUGUCUGUCUUAUAGUUUAUUGGAAAUAAUAUUAUGAAUUAUAAUCAGUAUGUAACAGAUUAAAGAUGAUUUCGAUUUUAUAGCAAAUCAACGAUCCCAAGACUAAAUUGAAAAAUUCACGGUUUCCUGCCAUCUGUCUGAAAGUAAAGUCAACGUUAUUAGUAGAGGUAGUUGAGUAUGCAAAAUGUGAGUUAAGAAAAGGUCAAGGAAUAAUAAUGUAAUACUUGCUGGUCAAUUUCUUGGUCCAUUUUUUUUACCCCCUUUUCUCUUAUGCGUAAAGGGAAUGCAUUGAGUACAUGAUAUAAAAUCAUUUUAAUGAUUAUUUCUCAAUAAUUUCUAUAGUUAAA